rnacentral:rRNA from 1 species
GACGGAGGGUGCUAGCGUUGUUCGGAUUUACUGGGCGUAAAGGGCGCGUAGGCGGCCACCGCAAGUCGACUGUGAAAUCUCCGGGCUUAACCCGGAAAGGUCAGCCGAUACUGCGGGGCUAGAGUGCAGAAGGGGCAACUGGAAUUCUCGGUGUAGCGGUGAAAUGCGUAGAUAUCGAGAGGAACACCUGCGGCGAAGGCGGGUUGCUGGGCUGACACUGACGCUGAGGCGCGAAAGCUAGGGGAGCGAACGGG